rnacentral:misc_RNA from 1 species
AACGCACCUUGCGCUCCUUGGUACUCCGAGGAGCAUGCCCGUUUGAGUGUCUCGAUAUCAUCAGAAGCCCAUGCCUCUGUGGCUGGUGCUCCUGGACUUGGGUGUGCUGCUGGGUAACCCUGCCCGGCUCAUCCGAAAUGCAUUAGCGAGAGAUGUAGGCUCUGCCGGCUCUCUUUGGCGUGAUAAGGUCACCCGUCGAGAGGCCCCCGGUGGUGAGGCCUGCAGCCCUUUUGCUUCCAACCGUCCUCGCGGACAACAGCAGACUCCGGUCUGACAUCUGACCUCAAAUCGGGUAGGACUACCCGCUGAACUUAA